GCGGCGGUGCUGAAACUGGUAAACAGGGCGCCCUCAAAAGGCGCUGUCCGAAAGGGCUUGUGGGUUCGAUCCCCACCCGCCGUA
rnacentral:tRNA from 1 species